rnacentral:rRNA from 1 species
GAUGAACGCUGACAGAAUGCUUAACACAUGCAAGUCUUUGGCGAAUCUGUGCUUGCACAGGCUAGCCAAGGCGGACGGGUGAGUAACGCGUAAAGAACUUGCCCUGCAGACAGGGAUAACAGACGGAAACGACUGAUAACACCUGAUACAGUUGCCGGCACGCAUGUGCCUGGCAAUGAAAAGAGAUGCUGCAGGAGAGCUUUGCGUCCUAUUAGCUUGUUGGUGAGGUGACGGCUCACCAAGGCGAUGAUAGGUAGCCGGCCUGAGAGGGUGAACGGCCACAAGGGGACUGAGAUACGGCCCUUACUCCUACGGGAGGAGGCAGUGGGGAAUAUUGGACAAUGGGGGCAACCCUGAUCCAGCAAUUCUGUGUGCACGAAGAAGGUUUUCGGAUUGUAAAGUGCUUUCAGCAGGGAAGAAGAAAGUGACGGUACCUGCAGAAGAAGCGACGGCUAAAUACGUG